AGUCCAUGGUGAGGACACCUUCUCAACAAAUCCUUAAAUCUCUCCCAUGUAUCAUAAAGAGUCUCAAUAUCAAAUUGAACAAAAGGAGAUAUAUCAUUCUUCAACUU
rfam:Gossypium hirsutum cultivar TM-1 chromosome 21, whole genome shotgun sequence